AGAGUUUGAUUAUGGCUCAGGAUGAACGCUAGCUACAGGCUUAACACAUGCAAGUCGAGGGGAAACGACAUCGAAAGCUUGCUUUUGAUGGGCGUCGACCGGCGCACGGGUGAGUAACGCGUAUCCAACCUGCCCAUCACUUGGGAAUAACCUUGCGAAAGUAAGACUAAUACCCAAUGAUAUCCCACGAAGGCAUCCGAAUGGGAUUAAAGAUUUAUCGGUGAUGGAUGGGGAUGCGUCUGAUUAGCUUGUUGGCGGGGUAACGGCCCACCAAGGCAACGAUCAGUAGGGGUUCUGAGAGGAAGGUCCCCCACAUUGGAACUGAGACACGGUCCAA
rnacentral:rRNA from 1 species